AACUCAGGAACCGCGAGAUCAUGACCUGAGCCGAAGUCGGAUGCUUCACCGACUGAGCCACCCAGGCACCCCUGUUAGGUACAUGUUAUGAUUUUUAUGUUACUGAAUCUUUGAAACAGGCUUGAAGGUAAAUAUUAUUAAUCUCUACGUUGUAGAUGAAGAACUGAGCUCAGACAGGCUAAGUCACUUGUUCAAGGUGACACAGAAAGUGUGUAGUGGAGCGAGGACAGAAAUCCAGAUCUGUCUGAUUGCAGAGCCCAUACCAGAUCCUCAUGCUGCUUUCCUCCUGCAGUGAAAGCCAUUGUCUUCCCUUCCUUAAAUAAGGAUCUGAAAACAAAGGCCAGAGAGAAUCCCCAUUUCUACUUCUCUUUUUUUUUCAUCUGAAAGCAUGUGAGCAAACAGGAAGGAGGAGGGAAAGUUCUGACUCACCCCCCACCCCCCGUACCAUUUUUCUAGACUUUAAAAAGUGUAUGACAUAUAUUAUUAUCUUUUCAGGCAGUAUUUUUUCCAUAUUGGCUAUAAGUUCCGUUAGAACCCUAUUUGCCUUUUCUUGUACAGCUUUUAUGUUACUAACUUGUGUCUCAAACUGUUUUUUUCCCUGUUUACAAUAUUCAGGAACUGGGGGACAGAUUUCAGAAUUUGCAGAAUCUAGGAUUUGUCCCCUUUGGAGUUUGCUUCACUGGCUAGAGGUGUGUUUUCUUCAUGAGAAGACAUCGCUAACCUCCGUCACAGCCCCGUGAUUCUGACGCCUGGAAGUACCUUUUACUCAGCCACAAAGUACAGAUUCCCAGGCUUUACCCAGACCUUCUGAAUCAGAACCUCUGGGGCUGGAGCUCGGGAAUGGACAUUGUCAUAAAAUGUUGGGAGAUUUUGAUGCAGCCAGCAGACAUUGGCCCCUGGGCAGACCACUGGCCUGGUCCAGCUGAGAGCCUGCCGUGGAGUCUCUGCUCCCGCCUGCCUGAGGUCACGUGGUCGCCCACUGUGUUUGCAGGCUCCUUUCCCAGCUCUGCCAUUCACAGCCAGAGAGCUUUUAUUUGAGUAGUGGAGCUAACCCCCCUCCCCCACCUGCACACACGCACACACACGUAAAAUGAGAACAUGUCCAUCUGGGGGCCGAAUGGGGUUGUGAGGAAUGAUGAGAUGACAAAAUAUACAGCGCCUGGCGUGUGGUCAACCCUGAA